ACAAUGCGCAGGCAAUCCACAGCAGCUGCCCCUGCAAAUGUCAGCGCCAGCCCAGUCAAAAGAGCUUGAAACCUACCAAGCCGGAGGACUGUGCUGUGCCUCUCUCGCCCACAUUUUCCCCAAGCACUCUCAGGAACCUGGCAACAGAUGGAUAUCUGAGAACCAGCGAACUUUCUUUACCUCCUAGUAUCAUUUCAUGAAAAUUAGUAGCACCUGCACAAUGGGGCCUUGGAGACAGGAAUAAAAGGAAAAAUCUGGAAUGGAAUCACAUGACGCAACAGGCUAUGAAGACUCCCUGCCCGGCUGCUAUAUGUCUGGUAAACAGAAUAAAUAGCACUUGAGCA
rnacentral:antisense_RNA from 1 species